AGAAAGUUAGAUUAUUUAGAUUUUAAACCUUCAAAGUUUAAGGAAAAGUUACUUUUACUUUCUG
rnacentral:tRNA from 2 species